rnacentral:lncRNA from 1 species
CCCGGAGACUCUGAAUGGAUAGCACGCCUUUCAUCCCGAGGCUCUUAAAGGCCUGAAUCCUCCCAGGUUUUCUAUUUUAGAACCUGCUGGGGCAACAAGAUCCUGGGAGGCAGGGGCAGAGCGAUGAGGACACUGAGGCAGGCAGAAGUGAAGUGACCUGCCCAGGGUCCUACAGCCAGUACGUGCCUUCGGCUGGAUUUGAACCCAGGAUCUCCAGACCCCAGUCCCUCUAAGGCUGUGACGCAUUUCCGGGCCUCGCUUCCCUUUACGGCUCUGCGGCUUCGCCCCGCCCUCCACCUCCCCCUCCUGGAG